rnacentral:piRNA from 1 species
UAGACCAGACCUAGCUAGCUAUUC